rnacentral:rRNA from 1 species
AUGGCGACCGGCGCACGGGUGAGUAACGCGUAUCCAACCUGCCCUUUACUAUGGGACAGCCCGUCGAAAGGCGGAUUAAUACCGUAUGUUGUCAUGUUGAUGCAUUAUUUUCAUGAACCAAAGGCUUCGGACCGGUAAAGGAGUGGGGAUGCGUCUGAUUAGCUUGCCGGGCGGGGUAACGGCCACCGGGGCGACGAUCAGUAGGGGUUCUGAGGGGAAGGUCCCCCACAUUGGAACUGAGACACGGUCCAAACUCCUACGGAAGGCAGCAG